GUUUCAGGAAAAUGGCUCUUAAUCUUACCAGGACCGUUGCUAAGCAGGGUAUCCGUACCUUCACUCACCAGACAUGGAUCUCAGGGCCUCCAAGGACCCGUAUCGCUUUCCCCGAGAAGGUUGCCCACGGUCUUCUGAUCGCCUCUGGAGUCCUCGCCGGCCCUAUGUGGAUCUUAGCUCACAUCAACGACUAUAAGAAGAGGGAUUAAACAGCCGGAGCCUAGACCAUCCAGAUGAUCGUUAAUGUUUUCUGUUAAUUCGUGAUUUAACGGUCAUAGACUGUUGUGUUACAGAUUAAUUGAUUCCGAUUAAUACUAGUAGUCGACAUGUAUCGUUGUAAAAUAAACAUUAAAACAUAAAA